GUAGGUGGCAAGCGUUGUCCGGAUUUACUGGGCGUAAAGAGCGCGCAGGCGGUCGGAUUAGUCGCGUGUGAAAGCCCCCGGCUCAACUGGGGAGGGUCACGCGAUACUGUUCGACUCGAAGGCAGGAGAGGGAAGUGGAAUUCCCGGUGUAGUGGUGAAAUGCGUAGAUAUCGGGAGGAACACCAGUGGCGAAGGCGACUUCCUGGCCUGUUCUUGACGCUGAGGCGCGAAAGCUAGGGUAGCAAACGGGAUUAGAUACCCCGGUAGUCCUAGCCGUAAACGAUGGACACUAGGUGUUGGUGGUAUCAACCCCGCCAGUGCCGAAGCUAACGCAUUAAGUGUCCCGCCUGGGGAGUACGGCCGCAAGGCUA
rnacentral:rRNA from 1 species